rnacentral:misc_RNA from 1 species
CAACCCUCAAGCAAUGCUUGGUAUUGGGCUUCGCUGCUCACGUAGCGGGCCUUAAAAUCAGUGGCGGUGCCGUCGGGCCCUGAGCGCAGUAAAUAUCCUCGCUACAGGGACUCGGUGGACGCUGGCCAUCAACCCCCCCACUCCUCUCAGU